rnacentral:rRNA from 1 species
AAUGUGCAACGAUUGCUCGGCUCGUGUGUGGAUGAAGAAUGCAGCUAGCUGUGAGAACUAACGUGAAUUACAAGACACAAUGAUCAUCGACACUUUAAAUGCCCUUUGUGAAGUCAUCCAGGAUUUCCUCAUAGCGGCA